GGGCCCAUACUCCAACCGGUAGAGAGAAGGGACUUAAACUCCCUACAGUGUCGGUUCGAAUCCGACUGGGCCUA
rnacentral:tRNA from 2 species